UGUGAGGGUCAUCUGGCUAUGACAUCUGUCACCCUCUUGAUCGCCAAGUUGAUUUGGCAGAUCUGGCUGGGUAGGCUGGCUGGGUAGGCAGGUGUCUCCUUCCAGUCUCACUACUCCAAGUAUACUCCUCCCAAAGCUGCAUGGUCAGUCAAAGAAGAUGACCUUCCCCAACAGGGAAGCAUCAUUCUUCAGUCAGAGUUGUAGAAGUACCCUCAUUCAUCCACCAAAACCUCAAACAAGCUCUGACGGACCAAUGAACCCACAAACGUUAGGUGAGUUUCCCACUGACAUUAGCUUCCCCUGGUGGUUUUAGGAGAACAUACAGC
rnacentral:snRNA from 1 species